AGUCGUACGCUUCUUUUUCACCGGAGCUUGCUCCACCGGAAAAAGAAGAGUGGCGAACGGGUGAGUAACACGUGGGUAACCUGCCCAUCAGAAGGGGAUAACACUUGGAAACAGGUGCUAAUACCGUAUAACAAUCGAAACCGCAUGGUUUUGAUUUGAAAGGCGCUUUCGGGUGUCGCUGAUGGAUGGACCCGCGGUGCAUUAGCUAGUUGGUGAGGUAACGGCUCACCAAGGCCACGAUGCAUAGCCGACCUGAGAGGGUGAUCGGCCACAUUGGGACUGAGACACGGCCCAAACUCCUACGGGAGGCAGCAGUAGGGAAUCUUCGGCAAUGGACGAAAGUCUGACCGAGCAACGCCGCGUGAGUGAAGAAGGUUUUCGGAUCGUAAAACUCUGUUGUUAGAGAAGAACAAGGAUGAGAGUAACUGUUCAUCCCUUGACGGUAUCUAACCAGAAAGCCACGGCUAACUACGUGCCAGCAGCCGCGGUAAUACGUAGGUGGCAAGCGUUGUCCGGAUUUAUUGGGCGUAAAGCGAGCGCAGGCGGUUUCUUAAGUCUGAUGUGAAAGCCCCCGGCUCAACCGGGGAGGGUCAUUGGAAACUGGGAGACUUGAGUGCAGAAGAGGAGAGUGGAAUUCCAUGUGUAGCGGUGAAAUGCGUAGAUAUAUGGAGGAACACCAGUGGCGAAGGCGGCUCUCUGGUCUGUAACUGACGCUGAGGCUCGAAAGCGUGGGGAGCAAACAGGAUUAGAUACCCUGGUAGUCCACGCCGUAAACGAUGAGUGCUAAGUGUUGGAGGGUUUCCGCCCUUCAGUGCUGCAGCUAACGCAUUAAGCACUCCGCCUGGGGAGUACGACCGCAAGGUUGAAACUCAAAGGAAUUGACGGGGGCCCGCACAAGCGGUGGAGCAUGUGGUUUAAUUCGAAGCAACGCGAAGAACCUUACCAGGUCUUGACAUCCUUUGACCACUCUAGAGAUAGAGCUUCCCCUUCGGGGGCAAAGUGACAGGUGGUGCAUGGUUGUCGUCAGCUCGUGUCGUGAGAUGUUGGGUUAAGUCCCGCAACGAGCGCAACCCUUAUUGUUAGUUGCCAUCAUUUAGUUGGGCACUCUAGCAAGACUGCCGGUGACAAACCGGAGGAAGGUGGGGAUGACGUCAAAUCAUCAUGCCCCUUAUGACCUGGGCUACACACGUGCUACAAUGGGAAGUACAACGAGUCGCGAAGUCGCGAGGCUAAGCUAAUCUCUUAAAGCUUCUCUCAGUUCGGAUUGUAGGCUGCAACUCGCCUACAUGAAGCCGGAAUCGCUAGUAAUCGCGGAUCAGCACGCCGCGGUGAAUACGUUCCCGGGCCUUGUACACACCGCCCGUCACACCACGAGAGUUUGUAACACCCGAAGUCGGUGA
rnacentral:rRNA from 1 species